GUCUUUUCUCUAGAAUUUGAGAAGAAAUGUCAGAAAUCACAUUGGUAGAAGGACAGGGAAGAAUUUAUCCAUAGUAGAUUAUUUGUUGUUAUAAUGAUCUAAAUAUGUGCAUUGCUGUGUUGUCUUUUACUUUCUUUCUUUUUUUCUCACCCUUUUGGGCUGUGCUUUCCAUGAGAUGUCUUGCUGAAAUCCAAGAUUUUGCUGCCUUUAAGGCGAAGAGAGGAGGGGAGCGCACCUCCGGCAGCGCUGCCGCCCGAGCCCUGCCCGUCGCGGCGAGCGGGCACCGCAGGGCCGAAGAGGAGAUGCCGGGGGGAGCCGGGCGCUCCCCACCUUUCAUUCAUAGCCGCAGAGAGAGCGAGGGAGAGAAAAUUGCCCCAGACCAGGCUCGACCGCGUCCCCACGCCGCGCGGAGCGGCAGGAGAGGGUUCCGCUGCGCGGAGGGAUGGCUGCGCCCCACGUCUCCCCUACCACAUCCCUGAGUUCAGCCGAGAGGAAACGGGGCCGGCCUUUUAACUCUCCUGACAGCACUUGGGGAAAAAUCAACCCCGCCGGCGCUGCGCGGGAGAGAGCCAGCUCCGGACUGGGGAGCCCAGCCGCUGUGGGCUGAGCAGGACCGGAUGGGAUGAGGGGCGGGUGGGGGCAAGGUUUGCAGGCAGAUUUUAAUAUUAAUAGUUUUGGUGGCGAGAAAGAGACAGACAGAAGGGAGGUUGCUCCUCUGGGCAGAGUCUCUGCGACAGUGAUGAUGGAUGACCCCGCACGGCUAAAUAACUCCUCCCCUUCAUCCCCACACGGUGUCAAAGCUACUUUACUUGCAGCUUUAGGAAUAAAAAAAAUUAAACACCUUCACCCCAUUCCUUGCAUCGAUUUAUGGAUCAUUAUGAAUCAAUUACUGCUCUCAAUAUUUUAGAAUUUGCUUACAAAAAAGAGGGUCUUGUGUCUGGAGAAAAAAAAAUUUAAUUUUUGCCUUAGUAAGAAAUACGGAAUCUUCUUGUACAGGCCUGUGACUAAAAAAUCGCUGCUAAUAAUUGCUGUUUAACAAUUUUCCAGGGGCCACAUUACUGGGGACGGGGUCAAUAUCUUUGGUGUGCAUCUCCAAGAGCGCCAUAAAAACUGGGGGAUUCCACAAUGCGCAUAGAAUACGUGUGGCGCGUGCAACCUCGUUGCUUAACUAUUCCAGGGAAAGACAGAAAGAGAGAGAAAGAGAGAGAAAGAGAGAGAAAGAAAGAGAGAAAGAGAGAGAGAGAGAGAAAGAAAGAAAGAAAAAGAAAGAAAGAAAGAAAGAAAGAAAGAAAGAAAGAAAGAAAGAAAGAAAGAAAGAAAGAAAGAAAGAAAAGAAAGAAAGAAAGAAAGAAAGAAAAGAAAGAAAGACUGAUUUUAAAAGCCCAGAAGCGAGCUCCGUAAGACACCCCCUCCCCCCAGGUGCCGUGAGGGGGUGCGGGGCCGGGACCGAGCUGUGCGCCCACGGGGCGGGACAGCGGAGCCCGUCUCGGUGGCUGAGUGCAAUGGGAAGGAGGCUUCAGCAGGGACAGAAAGUGUGUGAAGUCGGAUUUCUCUCCCUUUCUCUGUAUUCUCCCAUUUGCAGCAGUGUUUGAGGAUCUCAAGGUGUUUCUAUGGCUACCUUGUGUAUGUGGGAGGGUCAUAUGUGGGGGUGCCCAAGAGAAAAGGCAGCUCUUGGGUGAUCAUUUAUCAAUGUCACCCACAUAAUGAUUCUCUCUACAGCCUUCUAUUGAUGAGGAUAAUUACAUUAGCUCAGAGUGACUGAUCAAUGAAAAACCACCAAACAAAAACUUCUUUACUCUUCUAUAAUACCAAAAACCGAUACAGAAAUAAGAUAGAAAGGGAGGGUGGGAUUUCCCUUUCCUUCCCUUUAGCAAUUAUUUUUGUAACGAGCAAGGGAAAGCAAGGAAGUUUUAUCCGAUUAGUUUCCUUUUCAGAAGAGGCUACCAUUUUGUGAAAAUGUUCCCUUAAACCUCUUGGCAUCACCCCGUGCCUAGUAAAAGCAAAUCGUUAUUUAAAAUAUUAACUACUACUUCUUCCCUAGACCCUAAAUCCUUUGCUUUUACAGUUGUGUUUUGUGAUCAGAGGGCGGGGGUUGGAGGAGGAGGGAAGAGCGCGAUAGUUUGGAGCUGCGGAGAGGGAAAGGGACGGCAAAUAACUUUUCUUGCUCAAUUCCAACUGUCUCUGUUUGUCAGGUUUUCUUUGGUUUUGUCACUUCAUAAAGUGGCUCUAUUAAAGAUGGAAUGUGGCCUCCGUGAGAUGCUGCUCUGUCGGUGAAAGCUUGCAAUUAAAUUACGGGUUCGUUCUUUCCAGAGUUAAAAAUCAAUGUUUUCUCAAUUAAAGGGAAUUUUAAUGCUUUUAUUGGGAGUUGUUAAGGACGCCGUAAAUUUUACUGUAAUGCCUCUAAGCUCCGAAGCCCUGCCAGUGGACAGGUUGAUAUUCAUGUUGGUUUUGGCGGAAGAGGUUGUUGCUGGUUUUGUUUUCUCUCUAAAGGGCCUUCUUCAGAAAACUCAAUCAUUUUGAAUAACUGCAAGACAAACUGAUGCAAAGGGGCGGGGGAGCGCAGGCUCUUCCUUCUGCCCUCCUCUCUCCAUUUCGUGCUGCCAUCAGCUCCUCUCGCUGUGGCAGUGAGCCCUGCCUUAGCGCUCUCCCACCGGGCGCAAGGGCGGGUUUUCAGCUGGUUUUGCUGGGAACGGAGAAACGCUUCAGUUUCGGAGCACGUGUUUCGCCCAGGUCGCUCCCCCUCUCGGAGAGGCCGGGGGUGCUGACUGAGGACGCGGGGCAGUGGCCGGGGCUCCCCUGCGGGGCCAGCGAGCUGCCCGCCCGCUCGCCCGGCUCGCACCCUGCGGGCUGCGCAAGGGCUCCCGUUCAGCAGAUCUAGCGCUGGUAAAGGAGCGUGUCCGGUCCUGCUGCAGACCUUACAUUUCUGCAAGCAUCUGCUUACAGGGAUGACUACAAGUUAGCCCUGGGACGUAAAUGAAUGGAAGUCGGAAUAGGGCUGGUAGAGACACUUUUUUCCUUUUCUUGCCAAAAUAUUGUUUCUUCACAGGCUACUGUCAAGUAAAAUCCCCACCAGGAGGCUGAUCUUGAACACAUUUACACGGGGUUAAUUCCCCGAGCCGCAGGAGAGAUCAUCCCCGGGCCGUGAGAUCAGAAAUAGGCCCUUAUCGCCUGGUUUUGUCCGAAGCGUGUUUAAAAUUCCUUAAAUUACCUCCAUGAAGAACCACUGCAAACUCCUUUAGAAUCUGCUUUGAUUAAAGCGACUGUCAGAUUCUUCGAGAUUAGGCGAGAGAAAACGCAGAGUAGGAUGUAUUUAUUAUUUAUAUUAUAGUCCACUGUGAACAGUUGGAAGGGGAGGAUUAGAGAGAGCGUUUGAAAGAGGAGACAAGAGAAAGCGAGAGAGAGAUGUAACCCUCUCUGUGGUUUGGACCAAGCUGCUUCAUUUCUCCCCCCACCCGCCGAGCUCCCUGUGCCGCCACCCCAGCUGCGCUCCCAAAGCUCGUCCUCCCGCUCGCCGCGCUGGCCAGCAGCGUCCCGCACCACUUCGUGAAGGACCCGGCAUCAGUAACCCGAUCGCUCUGGUUUUCACUCAAGUUUGUAUUGUUCUGCUCGAGCCUGGUGCGUGGCACUAAACACAGCCGGUCCCUAGGGAAAACAAACCAAAAAAAAAAAAAAAAAAAAAAAAAAAAAAAAAAAAAACAAACAAAAAAAAAAAAAAAAAAAAGGAGGGGGAUGACGACGGAUGCUUUCCGCUCUCAGGCUUGUGUCUGUGUUUAGAUAUACAGAGCAGGGGAGAAAAACAAAGCCAUAACCGGGUUCUCACCAAGCAGGUUUGCUUUAGGACCUCCCGUUAGUAGGGGGAACGGGGCAGCGCCGCCCUUGUAUUUGGCUAAGGCGGAAGUGAGGAGUUCGGGAGCUUAUUUUAUUUUAUUUUGUUUUGUUUUAUUUAUUUAUUUUUUUAAUUUUUCCCUGCGACUGCUGCUCUCCAAUUCGGAAACAUUUUCAAAUCUAUGAGCCUUGAAUGGACAAAUACUCGCUAUUAAUAUGGGACAUGGACGAGUGGCAAAAAACCUGAAUGGAAACUGUGCGGUAGCUUUAGGAGAAACUAACGAUGUGCUUCAGCUCUUGCCAUUACAGGGAAGGAAAGAGGGGGAAACCCCUUCUGAUUAAUAACUAGCAGGGUAAUGUUGAGGGCUUUUUCUGCCCGAUUGCCUUUUUGAAUUAGAGCCGAUUUCUUCACACUUCAAUAGGGCCUGUCUCUUUUAAAAUGACUGACAGAUUUGUUUCUCCUUUUUUCUCUCCCUGAGACUUAAUGAUGUAAAUUUUCUAAUUAGUUAAAUCACGUUGCUUAAAGGCCUUAAUGUUUACCGGGCAAGGAAUGAUAGCCGCAUUCGGAUCUCUCGAAAUAACCAGCGAAAUAAUAUUAGAGUUUUUGCAGAGGGAGGGAGGGAGGGGGAAAGCGCAGAGGGAGAGAUGGGCUGGGGAAAUAUCACGUAAAAUGAGAGCUAAAGUUCAGCCCGGAGCUUCUUCCCUCCUCCCCCACGCCCCCGAACCCGCUUUUAUUUUUCAAUCAGCUAAGAUUUAAUUAGGAGCCCCCAGGCCGGACGAUCUGAUAUUUUCUCAUUAGUUUCCCAUCAGUAAUCUUGAGUGUUAGAUUGGCUUAAAGGUUGUCAACAUUUGACCAAUUUUAUUUAAGGCAAAGAAAUCACGCAUUAUAGCUCCGGGACCCGAGACCUGAAAAUAAAUCCUGCCCGGAUCAGCGGAACUAACAUGCGAAAAAAAUGUUGACAAUUCAUCGUUGUGUUUAAUAAGUUGCAUAAUGUAUGGUACGCACACGCACACGCACGGAGAGCGGCACGGGGGCACCGCGCGGGGCGCCCAGCAACGCGCACACCUGGCUGUCCCCGUGUGUGUGCACACGCGUGUGUGUGCGUGUGUCUACACCUGCGUGUGUGCGGUGCACACGUGUGGGUGUGUGCGCACCUGUGUGCGCGCGUGUACACGUGUGUGUGCCCCAUAUCCGCGUGUGUCCCCUGAGUGUGUCCAUGCGUGUCCGUGUGUCCCGUGUGCGUGUCCGUGUGUCCCAUGUGUGUGCAUGUGCGUGUCCGUGUGCGGGCGCGCGGCGCGGCAGCGCGGGCUCCCAGGCGCAACCUCGGAGCGCCCCCUGCUGCCCGCGCCCGGCGCCUCCGC
rnacentral:lncRNA from 13 species